rnacentral:rRNA from 1 species
GGCGGAUGGGUGAGUAACACGUAGGUGACCUGCCCCGAAGAGAGGGAUAACUAUUGGAAACGAUAGCUAAUACCUCAUGUGAUCGGCGAUUCAAUUUGUCGAUUAAAGCUCCGGCGCUUCGGGAGGGGCCUGCGGCCCAUCAGGUAGUUGGUAGGGUAAUGGCCUACCAAGCCUGUAACGGGUAGCUGGUCUGAGAGGAUGAUCAGCCACACUGGAACUGAAACACGGUCCAGACUCCUACGGGAGGCAGCAGUGAGGAAUAUUGCGCAAUGGACGAAAGUCUGACGCAGCAACGCCGCGUGAGCGAAGAAGGCCUUCGGGUUGUAAAGCUCCUUUCUGGGGGACGAGGAAGGACGGUACCUCAGGAAUAAGUCUCGGCUAACUACGUGCCAGCAGCCGCGGUAAAACGUAGGAGGCGAGCGUUAUCCGGAUUUAUUGGGCGUAAAGCGCGUGCAGGUGGUUUCGUAAGUCGGAUGUGAAAGCCUCUGGCUCAACUGGAGGAUGUCGUUCGAUACUG